rnacentral:rRNA from 1 species
AGCGAACGCUGGCGGCAGGCCUAACACAUGCAAGUCAAACGAAGUCUUCGGACUUAGUGGCGGACGGGUGAGUAACACGUGGGAACGUACCUUUUGGUUCGGAACAACUCAGGGAAACUUGAGCUAAUACCGGAUGAUCCCUUAGGGGGAAAGAUUUAUCGCCGAAAGAGCGGCCCGCGUUAGAUUAGCUAGUUGGUGAGGUAAAGGCUCACCAAGGCUACGAUCUAUAGCUGGUCUGAGAGGAUGAUCAGCCACACUGGGACUGAGACACGGCCCAGACUCCGACGGGAGGCAGCAGUGGGGAAUCUUGCGCAAUAGGCGAAAGCCUGACGCAGCCAUGCCGCGUGAAUGAUGAAGGUCUUAGGAUUGUAAAAUUCUUUUACCAGGGACGAUAAUGACGGUACCUGGAGAAAAAGCCCCGGCUAACUUCGUGCCAGCCGCCGCGGUAACAC